CAUCCGUACGCGCAAUCAGCGAAGUACUACCGGGCGCUCCUGGAAAGUGGCUUAUGGGAAAAAUACCACGGCGUGCUCUGGCGCACAAUGCCCGUGUUCCAUGAAACAGACGACCCUGUGUUCUUGCGAAAAAGCUUUCUCGACCUCGUCAAGCUGACCGGGAUUGUUCCACUGUCAUGCGAACUGCUACAAGUGAACGUCAAAAAUGUCGACCUCGAUGUCAUUUCACGAAUGUUCGCCAUGGGUAACGCUGUUCAUCGCCUGCUGACAGAAGAAGAGAAAACCAAGAUGUUCGAGUUCGCCAAGAGUUAUGUGCUACAAAAUCAAUGUCAGUUCUUUUCAACCACAGGCUCAACGCCGCAGCUGAGAUUUGUUUUUCACGGAUACAAACGUUAGGCAUCGCUUUUGCUUGUGCCAGCACCUCGAGAAUCGCCAAUCCACAGAA
rnacentral:lncRNA from 1 species